UACAGAGGUCCCAAGCGUUGUUCGGAUUUACUGGGCGUAAAGGGUGCGUAGGUGGUUUGUUAAGUCAGGGGUGAAAUCCCGCGGCCCAACCGUGGAACUGCCUUUGAUACUGGCGAACUUGAGUGCGUGAGGGGUAGGGGGAACGAGCAGUGUAGCGGUGAAAUGCGUAGAUAUUGCUCGGAAGGCCAGAGCCGAAGGGGCCCUACUGGUGCGCAACUGACACUGAGGCACGAAAGCGUGGGGAGCAAACAGG
rnacentral:rRNA from 1 species